UACGUAGGGUGCAAGCGUUGUCCGGAAUUAUUGGGCGUAAAGAGCUCGUAGGCGGUCUGUUGCGUCGGCUGUGGAAAACCCGGGGCUCAACUCCGGGCCUGCAGCCGAUACGGGCAGACUAGAGUUCGGCAGGGGAGACUGGAAUUCCUGGUGUAGCGGUGAAAUGCGCAGAUAUCAGGAGGAACACCGAUGGCGAAGGCAGGUCUCUGGGCCACUACUGACGCUGAGAAGCGAAAGCAUGGGGAGCGAACAGG
rnacentral:rRNA from 1 species